rnacentral:rRNA from 1 species
CACGUAGGGGGCGAGCGUUGUCCGGAUUUAUUGGGCGUAAAGAGCUCGUAGGCGGCUCGGUAAGUCGGGUGUGAAACCUCCAGGCUCAACCUGGAGACGCCACUCGAUACUGCCGUGGCUAGAGUCCGGUAGAGGAGCGUAGAAUUCCUGGUGUAGCGGUGAAAUGCGCAGAUAUCAGGAGGAACACCAAUGGCGAAGGCAGCUCGCUGGAACGGUACUGACGCUGAGGCGCGAAAGCGUGGGGAGCGAACAGG